UGAAGGUGACCCUGAUGUUAUUAGAUCUCAUUUACCAUUUUUCUUCUUCCAUUUUUCACAUUGGAGAACCCUUGCAGGUCACAUGGGCGCCUCCUGUUUCUUCCUUCUGGAUCGACAUCUUCACUAUAUGCUAACGUUGUGUCUGUUGUGGAGCCCGAUUAUCAUUUAGAGGAAAAAAAAUGUAGCUAUACUGAUGAGGAAGAAGGAUGAAGAUGGAUUUGUGCUGCU
rnacentral:lncRNA from 1 species